GAUGAACGCUGGCGGCGUGCAUAACACAUUCAAGUCGAACGAAGCACUUUGGGACGAUCCCUUCGGGGUGAAGCCUGAUUUGACUUAGUGGCGGACGGGUGAGUAACGCGUGAGCAACCUGCCUUUCAUUGCGGGAUAACGGCCGGAAACAGCCGCUAAUACCGCAUAAUGUAGUGAGAUCGCAUGGUUUUACACCAAAGAUUUAUUGAUGAAAGAUGGGCUCGCGUCUGAUUAGAUAGUUGGUGAGGUAACGGCUCACCAAGUCGACGAUCAGUAGCCGGACUGAGAGGUUGAACGGCCACAUUGGGACUGAGACACGGCCCAGACUCCUACGGGAGGCAGCAGUGGGGAAUAUUGCACAAUGGGGAAACCCUGAUGCAGCAACGCCGCGUGAAGGUCA
rnacentral:rRNA from 1 species